rnacentral:rRNA from 1 species
AUGGAUUUAAAGAUGCUCACUUGGAACGUCAGGGGGCUGCACAACCCUGCAAAAAGAAGAAAUGUUGCGAAGCUGAUUGCUGAAUUGAAUUGUAACAUAAUUUGCCUGCAAGAGACGAAGCUGGAACAAUUAGACAGGGCAUUGGUGUCUGAUUUUGCUGGUGCUGGUUUCGCUGACAAUUUCAUAUUCAAACCAGCUUGUGGUUCCAGAGGAGGUGUUGUUAUAGCUUGCUCCGGUGAUUUCGCCAUUGCUCCAAUGUUGGCAAUCCCAGAUGAGUUCUCCUUCUCGGCGACAAUCACUGAUAGAUCGACCAACGCCUCCUGGUCGAUCACUGGAGUGUAUGGCCCGCAGCUGGCUGUUGAAAAACGCAGAUUCUUAUCAGAGCUAGCUGCACUAAAACCUCGUAUGCUGAAUGAAUGGCUAGUAUUGGGAGAUUUUAAUCUUAUUUGCAAGGCAGAGGAAAAGAGCAACUCCAACAUUAACUUGGGGCUGAUGGCACAAUUCAGAAACACUAUUGAUUUGAUGGAACUGAGAGAUAUGCCUCUGUCUGGUAAAAAGUUCACUUGGUCUAAUGAGCGAGCCGGCAGAACCUUGACCAAGAUCGAUCGGGUGCUUAUUUCCAAUGAUUGGGAACUUAGAUAUCCUCAGUAUCAACUAAACCCGGCAUCCUCGGUUGUCUCGGAUCAUUCUCCCUUGUUACUGAAAAAGAUGGAUGCCAAGGUUUAUAAAGGCUUCAGGUUCGAGGCAUAUUGGCUCAACAUGCAAGGAAUUGAUUCUGUGGUAACUCAAAGUUGGAACAAGGCCUUGAGAUCAUCUGAUCCAGUGAGAAGAUUCCACAUAAAGCUUUCCAGGACAGCUAAGGCUCUUAGGGAAUGGGACAAAGCUAUUAAAGUCUCUUCAAAUUUUGCUUUCAAUGUGGCCAACGAGGUCAUUUUUCAACUGGACCUAGCUAUGGAGGACCGAGAGCUAUCUGAAGCAGAAUGGGCUCUCCGAAGAUUUCUUAAAGCCAGAUUGCUGGGAAUUGCGGCGCUGGAAAGGAUUAGAUGGCGUCGAUGCUCCAGAAUCACUACAAUUAAAGCCAGUGACGCAAGCUCCAAAUUAUUUCACCUACGGGCGAAUGGAAGAAGAAGAAAAAAUCACAUUCCUGUUCUGAGAGGGCCACAAGGGGAUGUGUCUGAACAUAGGCUGAAAGAAGGCAUCCUUUUCAACCACUUCAAAAACCCGAUAGGCACACCAAUGAAUGAGAGAAAAGUUAUGAACUGGAAUUUGUUGCAGCACCCUUCAGCUGAUUUGCAACAUCUGGAAACACAAUUCAACGAAGAUGAAAUCAAAGCUGUCGUUUUUUAUCUGCAUGAUGAGAAGGCUUUGGGCCAGACGGCUUCAUUGGCAAAUUUUUCAAACGCUUCUGGGACUUAA